rnacentral:lncRNA from 10 species
CACCCCAAAAGAGGAUUCAGAAGGUUGUUUUGAGAGAAGGAAAAUUGCAGACAACAGGGAAGACUUCUCCAUCAUGAAAGCUUUAAGUUAGGAGAAAAAGGGAGACGAAAGACCAUUGGAAGGAUGCAGACCAGCAGCCUCCGUCCCCUUAACUGGCUGAGCUGCUGGUUUGAGCUAUCUUCUGCAGCUUACAGAAAAUCAAGCUUCUCCCCAAAGAAGAAAUGAAGAUAACUACCCAAAAGGCCGAUGGCUUUACAGCUUGGCAGACAUUGGAAUCCCCUGGAGAACUCUUUUUUUGACACCUGGUGAGGUCUGUGGAGAGAAACCUGCAAGGGAGUGUGAAUCUUCCCUUGUUUUUUUUUUUGCCCCUGGAAACCACCAUUCAACUUUCUGUCUCUGUGAAUUUCACUGUUCUAUGUACCUCAUAAUCCUGCCUUGAUACAAAACAGUAUCACAUGUGUGCACCUAGGGGAGAAGAAGAAGAGAAACAGCUGGAAACGUGGAUCUCAUUGGAUUACAGAGGGCCUUGAAUGCCACAUAAGGAAUUUGGACUUUCUUCUGUGGAUAGCUGCAGUAAUGGGUUGAACUGUGUCCCCUCAAAAUUCAUAUGUUGAAAUUCUAUUCCCCCAGUAAUUCAGAAUGUGAACUUAUUUGGAAAUUGGGUCACUGCAGAUGUAAUUAGUUAAGUUAGGAUGAGGUCAUGCUGGAGUAGGGUGGGCUCUAAUGCAGCACGACUGGUAUCCUUAUAAAAAGAUACUAGCACUGAGAGAGCCAGCGCUGGCCUGGGGGAGCACGGGAGGCAGCAGUGAGAGCUGUGUGUUUGGGAGUCAGGAGGUGACUGAGGCCCCACGGCGAGCGUGCAAGUGUGCGUUUGGUUCUCGGUGUGUUGGGCAGCAGGGGAACCAUGGGAUCCAACACACAUUUUUUUUUUUUUUUUGAGACGGAGUCUCACCCUGUGGCCCAGGCUGGAGUGCAGUGGCACGAUCUCAGCUCACUGCAACCUCUGCCUCCCGGUUUCAAGCGAUUCUCAUGCCUCAGCCUCCAGGUAGCUGGGAUUAUAGGCACCUGCUACCACGCUGGACUGAUUUUUGUAUUUUUAGUAGAGACGGGGUUUCACCAUGUUGGCCGGGCUGGUCUCAAACUCCUAAUAUCAGGUGAUCCACCCUCCUCAGCCUCCCAAAGUGCUGGGAUUACAGGCAUGAGCCACCGCCCCCGCCCCCAACACACAUUUUGCAAGAGCAAACGCACGGAGGAAUGUUCUGUUUGAGUGCACUUGUAGCUGUUGGGCUCUGGGCAAACCGUAUGAGCCCUGAGAUCCACAAGGAGAGGAGGAGUUCCUGGAAGUGGUGGAGGUGAAGGCAUUACAAUGAGCUGCCUCCCUUUAGCAUCCUCAAGCGGCGUCCCGACCCCUUCAAGUCAAAGGCAGACAUGUUCAGGGAGCACCUGCUAUGAGCUGCUGCCCAAAGAGGUGGAUGGGGUUGUCUCAAAAGGUGAAAAGACACAGGGAGGCCCUGCCCACAGGGCCAUCUCCUGUGGGCAGCAGAGGCUUGCUCACAGCAGCUCAGGCAAAGAGCUGUAAGUCUGAAGAGCCAAGGGCGCUCUGUGCAGCAGGAGCUGGAGGGAAGCAGUGUCAUUAACAUCCCUGCCAUUUGUCAUCAUCAAAAGGUAUUUCUUAAGCACCUAAUUGAGCCUGAUACUGUGCUUGUGUUUUAUUUUCAGAGCUUGUAAGGACUAAACAAUGUGCAAACAAGCAAAUCAAAUAUCCAUAUAAGGUUUUGCUGCAAAGAGGAUAUUAGAGCUAAUUAGACUCACAGCUUUGGACGGACCUCUGAAUAACCAAUAAGUUAUCUCUUAUGGAAACAUGCUAGCCAGCACAGCCAUCCUCUGCCUUAAUCGCACGUCUCUGCGGCCAUAAGCUUCCACUGGCUCCUACAAACUGAAUAUAAAAAACUAAGAGACAAGUGAGCAUCGGCACCCCUGCUGGGAAGGGCCCACUUUUCCCAUUCAAGUUGGGGUAUCAAGGUUUUGAGAGCUCAGAAUAUGAUGAAGUGCACAGCUACCACCUCUCUGGGAUGAAAGAACUGAGUUGUUCAUGUACUUCCUGGCAUUUCUUACCGUCUCACCAG